GAUGAACGCUAGCGAUAGGCCUAACACAUGCAAGUCGAGGGGCAGCACAUGAGUAGCAAUACGAUGGUGGCGACCGGCGCACGGGUGAGUAACACGUAUGCAACCUACCUUUAACAGGGGAAUAACCCGUUGAAAAACGGACUAAUACUCCAUAACACAGGGGUCCCGCAUGGGAAUAUUUGUUAAAGAUUUAUCGGUUGAAGAUGGGCAUGCGUUCCAUUAGCUUGUUGGUGAAGUAACGGCUCACCAAGGCCACGAUGGAUAGGGGAACUGAGAGGUUUAUCCCCCACACUGGAACUGAGACACGGUCCAGACUCCUACGGGAGGCAGCAGUGAGGAAUAUUGGUCAAUAGAGGCAACUCUGAACCAGCCAAGUCGCGUGAAGGAUGAAGGUCUUAUGGAUUGUAAACUUCUUUUGCAAGGGAAUAAAGUGGGGGACGUGUCCUCCUUUGCAUGUACCUUGCGAAUAAGGAUCGGCUAACUCCGUGCCAGCCGCCGCCGUAA
rnacentral:rRNA from 1 species